rnacentral:rRNA from 1 species
AACGAACGCUGGCGGCAUGCCUAACACAUGCAAGUCGAACGAGACCUUCGGUUCUAGUGGCGCACGUGUGCGUAACGCGUGGGAACCUGCCCUUAGGUUCGGAAUAACUCCCCGAAAGGGGUGCUAAUACCGGAUAAUGUCUUCGGACCAAAGAUUUAUCGCCUUUGGAUGGGCCCGCGUUGGAUUAGCUAGUUGGUAGGGUAAAAGCCUACCAAGGCGACGAUCCAUAGCUGGUCUGAGAGGAUGAUCAGCCACACUGGGACUGAGACACGGCCCAGACUCGUACGGGAGGCAGCAGUGGGGAAUAUUGGACAAGGGGCGAAAGUCUGAUCCAGCAAUGCCGCGUGAGUGAUGAAGGCCUUAGGGUUGUAAAGCUCUUUUACCCGGGAUGAUAAUGACAGUACCGGGAGAAUAAGCUCCGGCUAACUCCGUG